GGGCAGCACACCCCCUAUGUCAGUCAGUAGAUGGGGCAGCACACCCCCUAUGUCAGUCAGUAGAUGGGGCAGCACACACCGCCCUAUGUCAGUCAGUAGAUGGGGCAGCACACACACCCAAUGUCAGUCAGUAGAGAGGGGCUGCACACCCCCUAUGUCAGUCAGUAGAUGGGGCUGCACACACCCUAUGUCAGUCAGUAGAUGGGGCAGC